rnacentral:lncRNA from 1 species
CGCGUGAGGACCAGGGUGGGUCAGGUGCAGGAGGGGGUGGUGAAUGAGCCUCGCGUGGCCCCAAACCACUCGCCCGGACCCCGUGUGUAGCCGCAGGGACCGGGGGCUCCGGCUCUGGUUCGCUCCGGCCUGCAACGAAGGGCUGUGGGCCUGGCGGCCGACUCUGCUCACGCCUCUGUGUUUCAUCCGCAGCGACGGGUCCAAGUCAUCGAAAGCCACGCCGUCGAAAAAGCCGGGAAAGCAAGACUCCCUUCUCCCUCCGUCUUCUCUCCGCGUCCUGCUAACGCCUCCAGUCCACGAGAAGCCAGGCUCCCUGCGCGCGGAGAGGGUGGCGCCCAGCCUGCGCUCCCCGGGAGGCCCGGAGCCGGGAUCCCCACGGACAGCGGAGGCCCCGCUCAGCGCUCGGGCACUCAAGGAGAUGGCCGCCAGCACCAAGAGCAUCGCCCGCAUCGCGGCCACCCGGCGCUCCCGGGCGCAGGACCGCGAGGCCGGCAGUGGCCGCUCCUCCCGCCACCUUCCGGAGGAGGUGGCCCGGGGCCCCAGCCCGGCGGACAGGAGGUGGCCUCACGCCAGCCUGUGCAGGGACCACUCCGGGGAGAGGAAGGCCAGGAGCCAGCGGUCGCCCUCUGUCACGUGGAGCGUGCAGCCGGCGAUGGAGAAGCUUCAGCCCCCAUCCAUGGACCAUUCGGCUGAGAGCCGGCCGCCCCCUGUGCUCCCUCAGCUGUCCAAGUCAUCGGGAAAGAGCUUUUUCCCUGCUGUCCCAGCGGCCUCCAAGAUAAAGCCCAGCCUCAGUUUCCAUGCAGAUGACAACACGCUCCACGUGCCGGAGGUCAACUUCACCUUCCCCAGCGCCGUGUGGCAGAGCAGCAGCAGCCCCAGCAGGGUGCCCCUCCUGCCGCGGGACAUCCGAGGGUCUACAGACAGCGGAGGCCACCACCACAGCCCGCAGUCCCCCAGCAACGUCCGCAGGCACCGCAGCGGCAGCGCCAAGAGGUCAAGAAGACCCAAGUGACGAUGGCGGCGGGCAGAGCGGGAGGCGGCAGGGGACCCGCGCACGGGCUCUCUGCCCCGGAGCUGGAGUGGACAGAUGCCGGCCCUGGCAGGGCCCCUCUGGGGGCGGCCCGCCCCAGCCUCCCACAGCCCUUUGUCCCGGUGGCACCUCCCCCCCACCUUCAGAGGCAGGCUGUCCGUGAAGUGACACAGCCUUCCCAGGACCCCUCCCUGGGUGCCAGGGCCUUUUCCGGGGCCUUCCCGCCCAGGACCACUGCACACGGCGUGUUCUGCUCCGGGAGAGUGCGCUCUGUGUGUUAGGACGCCAGGCCAUCCCCCUCCAGGUCAGGCUCAGGCUGCAAACCACAGGGGACACCCGAGUGGCCACCAGCAUCGUGUAUUAGCCGGGAUUCUCCAGAGAAACAGAACCAAUGGGGGUGUGUGCGUGUGUGUGUGUGCACGUGCGUGUACACAAAAGAGAGAGAGGUCAAGGCUUCCUUUAAGGAGUGGCUCAUGUGACUGCAGGGCUGGCCCGUCUGAAGCCCGCAGGGCGGCCUGGAGACCCGAGGAAGAGCUGCGGCCACAGCCUCGAGUCUGGGGGAAGACUUCCCUCUUCCUCGGGGGUCUCAGUCUUUUUUUCUUCAACUUGAUGCAGGCUCGGUGAGCCGAGGAGUUGAAGGAAAGAUUUCUUGGACUCUCAAGGUCUGGCAGUAGUGCUGUUUUAUUUAGAGAAUAGUGUGGAAUAGCAUGGGGACAGGACCCACGGGCAGUCAGGCUGCUGCAUGGGGACAGGACCCACGGGCAGUCAGAGCUGCUGCUGCCGCUUCUGCUGCCAACAUGGGUGGAAAGUAAGGCUAAAUUGAAGGCAUAGGUAUGUGAGCCAUCUCUUUACAAGACAAAGGAAAGAACACGUAAAAAAGUUAAAAUGGUAUCAGUGCAGGUGCGGUCCGGCCAUUGGGUGGUCCCACAACUUUUAGAUGAGAAUCAAAUCGGAUUAAGUAAAGGCCCACCCACAUUCUGGAGAGUGGUCUGCUUGAGUCAGCCUACCUCCCGAUUUCCAUGUUAAUCUCAUCUGAAACAUACCUUCACAGCAGCGUCCAGACCGGUGUCUGACCACACCUCUGGGUACCGUGGCCUGGCCAAGCUGAUGCAUAAAAUUAACCCCCACGCUCCCCAGGCCUUGGCCAGCCUGCAGAGUGGCGCUGGUCACCUCCCCAC